rnacentral:rRNA from 1 species
GUGUGACUGCGUACCUUUUGUAUAAUGGGUCAGCGACUUAUAUUCUGUAGCAAGGUUAACCGAAUAGGGGAGCCGAAGGGAAACCGAGUCUUAACUGGGCGUUAAGUUGCAGGGUAUAGACCCGAAACCCGGUGAUCUAGCCAUGGGCAGGUUGAAGGUUGGGUAACACUAACUGGAGGACCGAACCGACUAAUGUUGAAAAAUUAGCGGAUGACUUGUGGCUGGGGGUGAAAGGCCAAUCAAACCGGGAGAUAGCUGGUUCUCCCCGAAAGCUAUUUAGGUAGCGCCUCGUGAAUUCAUCUCCGGGGGUAGAGCACUGUUUCGGCAAGGGGGUCAUC